rnacentral:rRNA from 1 species
UACGUAGGGUGCAAGCGUUGUCCGGAUUUAUUGGGCGUAAAGAGCGUGUAGGCGGCCAGACAGGUCCGUUGUGAAAACUCGAGGCUCAACCUCGAGAUGUCGAUGGAAACCGUCUGGCUAGAGUCCGGAAGAGGAGUGUGGAAUUCCUGGUGUAGCGGUGAAAUGCGCAGAUAUCAGGAAGAACACCUAUGGCGAAGGCAGCACUCUGGGACGGUACUGACGCUGAGACGCGAAAGCGUGGGGAGCGAACAGG